GAGGUUGAAACAGGAUCCCGCGGGAAAUAACAUCCCGCCUUGGCAGGCGGAUCUGCAAUGUUUGCUAAGCCUCAGAGAGGUCUCUUCUCACGGCCCGGCAACUAGUUUUUGAUUUGUUCAGCAGCCCCGGGAGAUGCUCCCUGGGUCGACGUCCAGGCACGCGACUGACCUCAGGUUCGGGAGGAAAAAAAUCAACCAAAAGCCCUUUCCCGGUUAGGAAAGAAUUGGGGGGGCGGGAGAAUAGCCCCGAGUAGGCUCUUUCCAUUGAAGCCAAAGAAAUCAGAAGGAGAAUGGCAGCGAGACUUCCUUCCUUUCCUUCCUCCCUUCCCUUCCUUAUUCAAGGAUUUCUCCCUUGGACCCCAGCCUAGGCAGGCCCCCCGAUCAGAUUUGUUGAAGCAAGGGCUGGAAAGAGCAGCUGGCGGCAGCAAUCUGAUGAAGAAACAAAGGAAUGCCCCGCCAGUUCUGGGAUCCCAGCAGAAUUGAACGCCAAGGCAGCAAAAAAGUAACCCUAAUCUCCAAGUCUUCACGAUCCAUUCAAACUCGCAUUGAGAUUACUUGAAAGUACCGUAAAUACAGUUGAAAAAAUGAAUGAGACACAUGACCUCUGGGAAAAGAACUAAAGUCACAUCUAUUCAGCCAAGGUGGUUUUUGCCAAUAUUUGAACUUGGGUGUGGAUUGAUCCCUAAAUCCAUUUAGGAUAAGCAAAUUGGAACUCUCCAGAUAUUUUGGACUAUGACCCUCAUCAUUCCUUGCUAUUUUACUAGGGAAUUCCAAAAAAGCUGCAGUUACCAUGUUUCUUAUCUUGAACUGAAUCAGAGUUCACCCAGCCAAUGUACAUGAAACUAUCUAGCUUGUUAUAUCAAUCAAUAGCUUGGACCUCAAAGCAAUUUCCUCCAUGUGAACGCCUCAUGUCUUGGAGUUAUCUUUUGUGUGUGGGAAGCUUUCAGAUUAAAUUAAUGGCAAGCUAUGACUAAUUAAUAACAAUCCUUUGGGUAGAUUUCCCCUCCCCCCCAAAAAACCCACCUAAUCCUAUUUUAGUUCACUGCCUAUAUUGCUGGGGAUGAUGAUGGAAGUUGCUGACUGUUUCUUCUGGAAGACGCGGGAAUUGGGAAGGAUGAUUGUUUUAGUCCAAUAUCAAGGAAAGGUUUCCCAUCACUGACUGAGCCAUUAUAGAAUCAGUACCUCAAUUCCGCUUUGCAGACCUAAUCGAGAAAUCUGUGCUGCGUCAAUUUAACAAAUCCUUGAGAGCGAAGGCAGGAAUGUCAAAUGAAUAUCUAGAAAGUCUGGCUUCGAAGAUCAAAUCACCAUGGAUCCUAAAUCUGCUACGCCUUUAUUCUACGACACCCCUGACUUAACUGACCUAGGAAAAGAUGCCACCACAGCAAAUUUCUCUUUGCAUCUCUUCAUCCUUCAGCCUGGCAAAUGUCUAAGAA